CCAUAAUCAACAAAUAAAUAAGAACGACUCCUCCAAGAUGACUGGCGUAGGGGACUUUCCUACACUUGAUGUUACUCCUCCUACAAUAAAUGUCAUAAAGGAAGAUGAUCUUCUAUGUGGGAGUUAGAAGUGCAUUAAACAUGAUCUUCAAGGACAUUCAAUCAUAUAGAACCUAAUGAAGUUCACUUCUUCACAAUAUAAAUAAUACCAUGUCUAAAACUCCUUGGUUGAAAUAUCUUGAACAUGUAUCUUUGACACAAUAUAUAAAUAUUUAAAUAAAGUUGUUGUCGAAUCUAAUUAUUCUUUUAGUGUUGUAUGUUUAUUGAAUCUUAUAAAUUUUGAUCUGUCUGAGGUUGA